rnacentral:rRNA from 1 species
ACCAGCAGCCAUAUCACCAUGCAACUCACAACUGGUAACCCACUGAAGCUAAGCAGGUGUGAGCCUGGUCAGUACCUGGAUGGGAGACCUCCUGGGAAAAAAAAUAAGGUUGCUGCUGGAA